GAUGAACGCUAGCGGCAGGCCUAAUACAUGCAAGUCGAACGGAUAUAUGUUUUUCGGAAUAUAUAUUAGUGGCGCACGGGUGAGUAACACGUACAUAACUUGCCCUCAAGCGGGGGAUAGCCUUGGGAAACUGAGAGUAAUACCCCAUAGAAUUAUUGGACGGCAUCGUUUGAUAAUUAAAACUACGGUGUUUGGGGAUAGAUGUGCGUCUGAUUAGCUAGUUGGUGAGGUAACUGCUCACCAAGGCGACGAUCAGUAGGGGGCGUGAGAGCGUGGCCCCCCACACGGGUACUGAGACACGGACCCGACUCCUACGGGAGGCAGCAGUAAGGAAUAUUGGUCAAUGGAGGGAACUCUGAACCAGCCAUGCCGCGUGAAGGAUGACGGCCCCCUGGGUUGUAAACUUCUUUUGGAUGGGGCGAAAAAACGGGAUUUAUCCUGGACUGACGGUACCAUCAGAAUAAGCACCGGCUAACUCCGUGCCAGCAGCCGCGGUAAAGUAGUCGUG
rnacentral:rRNA from 1 species